GCGAGAUUCUUCAAAUUAGAAUUCAAUUAAGCCAGAAGUAUUUUAUUUUGCUCAUUUUUCCAUCGGAAAUUGGCUAGGAACUUUUGGUUACAAGUAGUCUUAGGUUUCGUCAUCGGUGAACGGGAUGUGAAGUCGAGGAUUCCAUAAAUAUUACACAUGCAGAAAGCAUCAAUGGAGCCUGGGAGGUCAAGAUUGUUCAGAAAUAAUGUUUAGCAGCUGCAAGACGAGCCAACGUGAAUUCAAGUUAAACAAAAUUGUAUUACCAAAACAGUGUGACAAUGGAAUUCACGGAGCAACCGCAGCGCGAGAAAACAGGAUUCCUGGAACCCGAGCUAGCUCGCGAACAACGGUGAAAAUUCCAAAAAUAUUCAGUACUAUCGUUUGGAGCGACCGCCGGCUUUUUAUUGCGAUGCGUCUAGUCCUUGGACCCAAUGGGAAGUGUCGUCAGUGUUGGUUGAUUAUUCUGCACCUAUUUUGUAGAUCCAGUUUUGCUCAAAAGGUCAUCGGAAGACCACAAGUUGCCGGUAGUGAUAGUAUUAUAAUUGGUUUUAAGAGUAAGAAACCCACCGUGGUUUCACCCACAAGAGGAUGUAUGAAGUAACUUUUUUAUAAUAAUUUAUAAUAAUAAUUUUUUAUAAUAAAAUAACAAUUGAACAACGCAGGAUGAUAUCGCACGUAAUCAUUAUCAGAGGAGAUGGUAUUAGUGGCCGAAAUCAUCAAAAACCAUUCAUCACAUUCCAUUUAUAUCUCAACUUAGGUGAACGAGGCCAGGGACGGAACUACGUUUCGCUAGGAAGGGAUCGUGGAGUACUACUAACUAUAAUAGAUACUAGAGUAGAAUGAUUCGACCGAAAUAAAGAUAUUCAAACGCAUUUACUUCUUCUUCUUCUUCUAUGGGUCUACAUUCCUGGCCCGCUUUUCAACUUGGUAUCCUUCACCAUUUUCUCAGUUAUAAUUUGAAAGCUUUUCUAUGCCCGCCAUUGCAUAAGUGUGUCUCCUAUUUGGCAAGUACAAUGGAUACAUUAUGCCCAAGCAAUCGAGAUUGUUUCCCACCCGAAAACAUACUAGACUGAACCGAAAAUCGAACUUGUUAACUCUUGAUUCGCAGUCCUACGCAUUCAGUUAAAGGCAGAUAGCUUAAGAGCUAAAUAUAUUCAAGUUAAUAUGAAUU